rnacentral:rRNA from 2 species
GAUGAACGCUGGCGGCGUGCCUAAUACAUGCAAGUCGAACGAGUUCUCGUUGAUGAUCGGUGCUUGCACCGAGAUUCAACAUGGAACGAGUGGCGGACGGGUGAGUAACACGUGGGUAACCUGCCCUUAAGUGGGGGAUAACAUUUGGAAACAGAUGCUAAUACCGCAUAGAUCCAAGAACCGCAUGGUUCUUGGCUGAAAGAUGGCGUAAGCUAUCGCUUUUGGAUGGACCCGCGGCGUAUUAGCUAGUUGGUGAGGUAAUGGCUCACCAAGGCGAUGAUACGUAGCCGAACUGAGAGGUUGAUCGGCCACAUUGGGACUGAGACACGGCCCAAACUCCUACGGGAGGCAGCAGUAGGGAAUCUUCCACAAUGGACGCAAGUCUGAUGGAGCAACGCCGCGUGAGUGAAGAAGGCUUUCGGGUCGUAAAACUCUGUUGUUGGAGAAGAAUGGUCGGCAGAGUAACUGUUGUCGGCGUGACGGUAUCCAACCAGAAAGCCACGGCUAACUACGUGCCAGCAGCCGCGGUAAUACGUAGGUGGCAAGCGUUAUCCGGAUUUAUUGGGCGUAAAGCGAGCGCAGGCGGUUUUUUAAGUCUGAUGUGAAAGCCCUCGGCUUAACCGAGGAAGCGCAUCGGAAACUGGGAAACUUGAGUGCAGAAGAGGACAGUGGAACUCCAUGUGUAGCGGUGAAAUGCGUAGAUAUAUGGAAGAACACCAGUGGCGAAGGCGGCUGUCUGGUCUGUAACUGACGCUGAGGCUCGAAAGCAUGGGUAGCGAACAGGAUUAGAUACCCUGGUAGUCCAUGCCGUAAACGAUGAAUGCUAGGUGUUGGAGGGUUUCCGCCCUUCAGUGCCGCAGCUAACGCAUUAAGCAUUCCGCCUGGGGAGUACGACCGCAAGGUUGAAACUCAAAGGAAUUGACGGGGGCCCGCACAAGCGGUGGAGCAUGUGGUUUAAUUCGAAGCAACGCGAAGAACCUUACCAGGUCUUGACAUCUUUUGAUCACCUGAGAGAUCAGGUUUCCCCUUCGGGGGCAAAAUGACAGGUGGUGCAUGGUUGUCGUCAGCUCGUGUCGUGAGAUGUUGGGUUAAGUCCCGCAACGAGCGCAACCCUUAUGACUAGUUGCCAGCAUUUAGUUGGGCACUCUAGUAAGACUGCCGGUGACAAACCGGAGGAAGGUGGGGAUGACGUCAAAUCAUCAUGCCCCUUAUGACCUGGGCUACACACGUGCUACAAUGGAUGGUACAACGAGUUGCGAGACCGCGAGGUCAAGCUAAUCUCUUAAAGCCAUUCUCAGUUCGGACUGUAGGCUGCAACUCGCCUACACGAAGUCGGAAUCGCUAGUAAUCGCGGAUCAGCACGCCGCGGUGAAUACGUUCCCGGGCCUUGUACACACCGCCCGUCACACCAUGAGAGUUUGUAACACCCGAAGCCGGUGGCGUAACCCUUUUAGGGAGCGAGCCGUCUAAGGUGGGACAAAUGAUUAGGGUGAAGUCG